CAGAUGAUGAUGGCACAUAGCCCAUGUCCUGCUGUGGGAUUAAAGGACAGCAUUACCAUACUUCAAAACCAAAAUACCAAAUUAUAAAGAUGCAUCCAAAAGGGAUAUCUAUCAGACAUUCUACCUGGCGUCUGCUGCUCCAUCAUCACUGCAUCCAUCAUCACCAGAGGAGUCUCCUCUCCUUCUGUGGUCUCAUGACCAGAAAAUGGAAGAAGUUAAAAGCUUAUUGGAUUGACAAAAAAAAAAAUAAAUAAUAAUAAUAACAAAAAAA
rnacentral:lncRNA from 10 species